GGAGCAAUCGCCUAGUGGUUAUGGCGGAGAUUUACUACGCUAGUCUGUCUCUGGGCUACGCCCUCGGGAGUUCGAAUCUCCCUUGCUCCU